AUUUAAGACACCCCCACCCCAUCCCAAAGAAGCUAAUGGGGGAAGACCAUAGACAAAAGGGAGUUGAAAAGCAAGGAGGGAUUGAGAGCCAUCCUAUAUUACAAACAAAAGGAACAAGAAGAGGUCAGCAAAACUAACCAGUGCAUCGACCAUAUGUCACAUUAUAUGCAAUUUUCCCUACCUGUGGUCCUCACCUGUGCAAAGAAUGGGGGAAGAUGAAUUUUUUUUCAUCUCUUUUUUUCGGGAAUGAAUGUGGUCAUCAUCAUUACACAGCAAAACCCGAAAACUCCUGAAACCGCAAAAACGAAAAAUGAAACUUUUGAAACUGAUACGACUAGUCAAGUGAAGCAAACUGAGACACUGGCCGAGUUAAAAAAAUGAAGGAAUCGCUGAGUCCCCCACCUCUCUGUCAGGAGGUGAAUAAUGCAUGUUCUUCAUCAUCAGGACUCUGGAAUCAUGAUGUUAGGGGCAGGAUUCAAAUGUAGGUCUGUCCUGACUCCACAUCCAGGAUUUGUUCUAGGAAACCAGACUCUCACACACACAAGGAAACACCUUUCGAAAAAGCUUCCUCUUGCUGAAACCACUAUUCCACGUCUGACACAGAAGCUGUAGA